UAAAUGGCAUACACCUCCCCUGAUGGAAUUUUCAAGGAAGAAGUCCGUUUUGCUCAUCAUAAUGCCACCUCAUCCAGCUACCAGCAGGCUUGCACAUGGAGUGUCAGCAUGAUUCACUGCUGCAGUGUCACUCAGGUUGCAGUGAGCUUAGCAUGACACUGCUACCACUCCACAGUAUUUGCUCUGAACCCAUCCAAGACAGAAGAAGACAGUGACAAGAGACGUGCAGAGCAAGAUUUCUGUUGACACAGAGAUCUUCUAUGUGGGAUAGUGGCAAGGAUUAAAAUGGAUCAACUACUUCACCUAUAGAUGGUGGAUGAACCCAGAGCUCAAGGAACAUCAGAAUCUGAGGAAUGGGAAAGAAAUGGAAGUUACUGCAGAGACAGAGUAUUCAGAAGCAUCUCCACAGAGCUGUACUACCAUCUGUUAGCACAAGUCAAGGUUAAGUGUUACUGUGCCCACAGCUAAGACAAAGUAUUCUCACUAAACAGCAUAAUUUUGUUAUCGAGUGUCAUAUGAGAAUUGUAUUUUGAAGCCUGUAUUAUAAUAAUGCUGUAACAAACGUCUCUAUGGCCUUGGUGGAUGAAUAGAGCAGGAGCAUAUUUCUUGAUUUUCAAAGCUUCAUGUGGAUGCUCCUGGACAAGUGACUCCCUGGCAUGGCUUCCUUCCAAGCAAGCAUGAUGAGGGGAUCCAGUUCCUUGCAUUUCCAUGCUGUUCUUUUCUAAGCGUCAAAGUCCAUUACAUCCAGCCAUGCAAACGGGGAAAGCAAGAGCACAUGCAAGGUUGCAUGGGAUGCCUGGAAAAUGCAUGGCAGGGCCUGAAAAUGAACAUCACGCUGCCUGCAUCCCGCCAUCAAGAAACAGUGGUAUGAAUCCACCUAGCUCCUGAGAAACACCACAUCCUAUCUGUGCACCAGGAGAGUGAAGCAGUGUGGUGAAUUCACAGUGUUCUCUCCACCACAAAAUGACAAUUCAUCCUUCCUUCCUGCUUACUGGCAAGCAUUGACUAAGUGCCCCUCCAGGUGUCAGACACUGUGCCUGGUGCACUGGCCACAGAAUUAAGUAGGACACAUUUUCAUAACAGGUGAUUUGCAGCUUUCAAUCUUGACUUUUAAAUGGUAGUGCCCUUGUUCCAGGAAAACCACACACACACACACACACACACACGAAAAAAUGCCUAGUUUAAGAGGAAAAUUGAAAAUUCAGUUUUGAACAUGCUCAGUUUAACAUCUCAUAGGGAUGACUAUAUGGAACCCAAAAUGAGCAAGAAAAGUAGAAUUGGAGAUCAAAAUUUAGGAGAUGUCAAAAAAUAGGUUAGCAAAGUAGGAGGGUGGAUGAGGUCAUCCUGGGAGAAUGUGUGGAGGGAGAGGUUAACUCAGAACACACCUCAGAGAAAGGAAAGGCAUCCCAGGGGACUUUAAAGUGAUGCCCAGAGAGAAGAUGAUGUGUCCUUGCAAUUUACUGAUGAAGUGAGACAGCAAUUUCAGCAACAUGGAGGUCUAAAUGUAGGUGGUGCCAUGCGUGGUGGUGCACACCUAUAUUCCCAGUAACUUGGGAGGCUGAGUCUGGAGGAUGGCAAGUUUGAGGCCAGCCUCUUCAACUCAGCAUUGCCCUAAACAACUUUUAAGACCCUGACUCAGAAUAAAAUAUAAAAAGGGCUGGGGAUGUAGCUCAGUGGCAAAGAACUCCUGGGCUCAACUCCCAGUAUCAAUCAAUCAAGGAAGGCAGGCUUAGGUGGAUGCUUAAAUAGGAGGUGACAAAUCCUCAAGGACUUUGGUACAAAAAUAAGGGGCAGGAUUGGCUGGGAGAGGGGAUCUAAGGAUAGGGGAGAUUCUGCUGUGGCUUUGUUUUUAAGAUGGAAGAAAAAUUCCUGUUUGUAAGUAGAACAGAAAGAUUUUAUUGAAUGGGAGAAUUUGAAGAUACAGAGGAGACUAGAGAAAUCCUUUCAAUUCCCUUUAAAAAGUAAUGAAAAUAACAGAUACCCAUCUGAGCAAUAAAGUCUGAUAAUAGAAAAUGAAGCCCUUGUCCCUUUCUCCAGGAUGUUUAAUCCCAAAAGUUAUCACAGUCCACUCUAGUGUUUGUCCUUAAUGUUUAUUAUCUUUUACCGAAUUAGGUAGCUCUCCUAUUUACCAGGUUUUAUUGUCCAUUAUCCUACAUGAAAAUUUAAGCUCCACAAAGGCAGAAAUUAUUUAUGUUCACUGUCUGGCUCAUAGCUCAUGCUCAAUAAGUAUUUGCUAAAUAA